UGGGUAAGUCAAUAGCGUUAGUUAAUAUCUUAUGUUAUGGUCGAAGGUUAAUAUAAUAAAAAGAAAAUCAUUAAAAAGAUAUUUAUAGAACAAUUUAAGGACAAUCCGGUUAUCGUUUUAUCUAGAAUUAUUAUUUCGAGAAUUGUUUUCGCCACCAUUUCCCUCUCUGGAAUCCGGCUAACUAUGGAAUUACAAUUACUAUUACUGAUGGUCUGUAGGUCUGUUAGAGACGUUAGAGUUCCAUAGUCUGGACUUUUAAGUUUUAACUGCACGUCUGCACAGAAACCUGACGAUCUGAAGACGCAGUUCAUUUCUCGAUGAUCAUUUUACGUUGUGCUGUCUGUGAUUAUUAAGUUAUCCAUAGUUUUAUAUAUACAUGUAUACUUAUUUCGUAUAUGAGUUAUAAGUUUUAUUAUAUAGCUGCGGUUAUAUUUAACUUCAUACCACAUCAAAAACACGACAGAAAACAAAUCAAAGAUGAUUAACCUUCUGUGUGUUGCCUGUGGCGAAUGCCAAAGAUUAUACUGAACUCCAAAAUUAUUAUCAACCUUCAACUAACAAUGAGCAAUGAAUUUCACAGAACAGUGCGGCUACCUACUGCUAUAUUACAAGCUAACAACAGUUUUAUACCAGAAUCUAGUACUGAUGCACAAGAGAUAUCCAACACACAAUCAUCAAUGUUUAUGAAUGUUAUACCUAGUUAAGUCCACAAACACAUAUCACAACAUUCAAUUUAUUUGACAAUAUUCAGAGUCAAAAUUCAAGUGUAGAAAAUCAAAAUAAUACUUUUGUGAAUAAUGAUGACCAAAUGGAUUUGCUGCAUCAUAUUUCACCGGAGCAAAUGAAGAUCAAAUCAGUGCUCAAUCGCAUUUCUUCAAAUUUGGAUAAUUCGGAUGUAAAUUCUAUAUACAAUACUAGUACUUGUUUAGAAACAGAUUUUUUAAGCAAUUUUUCAAUAAAUAACCUAGGCAAAUUUAAUGGAGGUAAUGAUUUUAUUUUGAAUGAUUUGGGAUUUGUUGAUAAAUUGGUAUGUACCUAGGUAACAAUUAAUAAUCAUGAUAAAUUAAUUUGGAUGAAUACUAAGUUUGUGUUUUUUAAAGGCAUAUUUUUUUUAGUCUAUUGGAGGAAAUUAUCAAAAGAAUCAUAUUAACAGAUAUUUUUCUCUGAUGAAUUUGCAGUAAAAUGUUCAUGGACUGAGAGAGGAAAAAGUAUAAAUACUUAAGUGGAAAUUCAGAAAUAUUAAGUAUUUAAAAAAUUAAUUAACCUGUAGGGAAUUCUUCAAGAAGAAUAAUUGAUGGUUGUAAUUUAUUCAUAGGUAUUAACUUAAUAUAUUUGUAUGUGGUUUUCAAAAAAGUUGUCAAAGAGUCUACCAAGACCCAUGUAUUUACUGAUGUUAAAUAUGAAAAAGUUGUAUCAUACUGUCUUAGAUAUGCCAAUAAUAGAUUUAGUAGAGCAAAAAAAAAACAUUGAUUUCUAGUUUAAAGAAUAAGAUGUUAAAGAAAAUGUCAUUAUAUAUCCUGCUUUUAUAAUAUUAUAUAGAUUCAUUUGUAAAACUAAUAUUUAA